AUGGAAGAUGAAUGGCUUGAACAUGCACAUGGUUCUUGAGAGAGCAGAAGCAGGAGGAGGAUGGAGAGCAAUGGCUGAGGUCCAGCUCAAGAAGCUCUUCGACUCCAUGGUGCAUUUCCUGGCCUCCUAGGUGGUUGGCUGAGGUAUGCACAAACCGGCAAGUCACAAAACGGCAUUGGUGAGCUCCAGCAGGAGUACA
rnacentral:sRNA from 11 species